rnacentral:lncRNA from 1 species
CUGACAGUUUGGCUUCCCUGUUCCAGGUGGCAAAGCCUGUGGGGUAUUCACCUACCUGCUGCAUGAAGGCAGCAUGGAGGGACUGUGGUGGAUUAUCUGCAAAGAUGGCCCAAAUUCUCUCAUCCCUGCAGGUACAUACAAGGAGUUUGCAGUUCACCCGCAAACCUCAGCGAUCCAAGCUCCCCUGGAUGACCAUCACUCACCUAGAAAAGAACAAUAACAGGACCUGUUUUGCUAAUCCAGGACUGUUCUCCAGCACUAACUCUAAAUAAUCCCUUCUGUUAGAGUCCACUUUCUGGAACCUGUUGCCUCCGUUUUCAACGUUUCCCAAACUUGGUCCGUUGUGUGAGUUGGCUGUUAAAAGUUCCAGGGAGAGGACAUCUUAUUCUUAUUGGAUCACGCACAGUGCCUGAAGCAUUCUGUUGCAUGUAGAAAUCAGUAAAUUGCAGAUGUAAGAUUCAAAACGAGACUUCACAUCUACCGACUUCAGUGAUCCUGAAAUUUGUCCACAGAGAGCAUUUAACAUAACUGUCUUCAUCAUCUCCUUCUCUAAUUAAAAACUAUGGGCCUUACAAACUGGUAGAAGAUGCAUAAUAGAAGAGCUUAUGAAGUUAAAGAUGACAGCAUAGCAACACUGGUAUCCUAGAUACAUUUGGAGAAUUCACCUGAGCUACAGGAUGUGAAAAGUUGCUAAAACCGCUGUGAGAUUCUGGCUAAGAAAAUUUCAUGAGAAGUUUUACAGAAAAAUGUGAACAGAAGAAAGAACUAGAUAUAAAUUUGAAUGGUAAUCUAAAUAAAA